UAGACGGUGGAUGUGAUGGCUAGAGUUCCAGCAGCCAUUUUGGACCAUGAGUCAACUCUAGGGAUAGAAUCCAACAGAAGAAUCAGAUGCAAGAAAUCUAGAUUCUGACAUCCUGACAUCACACAAGCGACUAAACCCGUAUCUUGGUACAUGAGAUCCAAAGGGUUGUCUGCAGUCAGAGGGAAGAGCCCAGGAGCAGGAGGCAUUUGAACAUGGCCUUAAAGAUGGGAAGAGAGCCCAGAGCCGGAGCAGAGGGGACCAUCAGCAGCACCUGAUCCCAGACAGAGGAGCGACUGAGCCCAGACCAAGGACCAGCUCUGAGCACUCCUCCCAAGUGUACAACGCAAUGUUUCAGGAAACAUCAGUGACCCCAAAUGGAGCAAUGUUCUCUAAAACAACUGGCCCAGAGUAUACACACACGUCAGGAUCAGGCCAGCUAGAGACAGCAGGGACCAGAUCCAGAACCCAGGGCAAAAGUGCCACCUUCAUUGUGGGCGCCUCUUAACAUGGACAAGACACUCCGCCAGGCUUGCUCAGGACGGAAUUCAUCGACCAAAGGGAUCAUCAAGGUAUAGGGAACCCGUGUGAAGUCAGAAGACCUGGAAAAAACAGGCAGGCCACAGCCCCCAUGGGGAGAGAGGCUGGCCAUGUGGGAACACAGCAGCGCUGCGGGGAGGUAAGGGACCUGCAAGGGUCCUGGGGCCACCAUACCAAAAUAAGUAUUAAUACGACAGAGGUUUAUGCUACAGUCUGGAAGCCGGAGGUCCAAAAUCAAGGUGGGGGCAGGGCUGAGCUCCCUCUGAGGGCUCCAGGGGAGGAUCCUUCGUGCCUCUUCCAGCAGCGGGUGUUGCUGGCCAUCCUUGACCAAUGGCCAUGUCCCUCCAGUCUCAGCCCCUGUGUCAGACAGCUGUCUCCCUGGGUUUCUGCUUCCUCUUCUUAUAAGGACACCAAUUGUUGGACUAGAGCUCGUCCCACUCUAGUAUGACUCAUCGCAGCUGGUUCUAUCUGCAAAGACCCUCUUUCCAAAUAAGCUCACUUCGGGAGGUUCCAGGGGGACGUUCUGGGAGAGACGCUAUUCAAUUCAGCACAGCCCCAAGAGUGAAGGGGGCCAAGAACCUGAGAGGGACGGGACCUGGUGUGCAGAGUGGGGGGCACAGGAGCCCCUGCCCUGCCCAGCAUCCUGCAGGGGUGAGCCAAAGGGCACACAGGGCAGAGCGAAGUGUAGGGAGCGGGCAGGCAGCAGCACAGGCAGUGGGGCACCCAGGACCCGCUGCGGGGGAGCCAUCACCAUGCUGGGCCGAUGUGCACAGAACCGCUGUGGAAGUCUGGCCUUGCCCUGUCCCUUUACCAUCACACCAGAGACUUCUUUCUGCUAACGAGGACCAGGCAACAAGG